rnacentral:rRNA from 1 species
CAUUUAAAGAGUGCGUAAUAGCUCACUGGUCGAGUGACUCUGCGCCGAAAAUGUACCGGGGCUAAACGUAUCACCGAAGCUGCGGACUGUUCUUACGAACAGUGGUAGGAGAGCGUUCUAAGGGCUGUGAAGCGAGACCGGAAGGACUCGUGGAGCGCUUAGAAGUGAGAAUGCCGGUAUGAGUAGCGAAAGAGGGGUGAGAAUCCCCUCCACCGAAUGCCUAAGGUUUCCUGAGGAAGGCUCGUCCGCUCAGGGUUAGUCGGGACCUAAGCCGAGGCCGAAAGGCGUAGGCGAUGGACAACAGGUUGAUAUUCCUGUACCACCUCCUCACCAUUUGAGCAAUGGGGGGACGCAGGAGGAUAGGGUAAGCGCGGUAUUGGAUAUCCGCGUCCAAGCAGUUAGGCUGGGAAAUAGGCAAAUCCGUUUCCC